ACUCCUACGGGAGGCAGCAGUUAGGGAUCUUCCGCAAUGGACGGAAGUCUGACGGAGCGACGCCGCUUGGAGGAGGAAGCCCUUCGGGGUGUAAACUCCUGAACUGGGGACGAAAGCCCUGUGUAGGGGGAUGACGGUACCCAGGUAAUGGCGCCGGCCAACUCCGUGCCAGCAGCCGCGGUAAUACA
rnacentral:rRNA from 1 species